AUUGAACGCUGGCGGCAGGCUUAACACAUGCAAGUCGAGCGAGCGGCGGACGGGUGAGUAAUGUCUGGGAAACUGCCUGAUGGAGGGGGAUAACUACUGGAAACGGUAGCUAAUACCGCAUACCAUCAGAUGUGCCCAGAUGGGAUUAGCUAGUAGGUGGGGUAAUGGCUCACCUAGGCGACGAUCCCUAGCUGGUCUGAGAGGAUGACCAGCCACACUGGAACUGAGACACGGCCCAGACGCCGACGGGAGGCAGCAGUGGGGAAUAUUGCACAAUGGGCGAAAGCCUGACGCAGCAAUGCCGCGUGUGGGAAGAAGGCUUUCGGGUCGUAAAGCACUUUCAGCGAGGAGGCGUUACUCGAAGAGAAAGCACCGGCUAACUCCGUGCCAGCCGCCGCGGUAAUAC
rnacentral:rRNA from 1 species